AGAGUGAAACUCCAUUUUUUUACUGCUAUUACUCUGUGUUUUCAGUUUUAUGAUUUGGAAUACCAUGAUGGGAACAUCUAUACUAAGCAUUCCUUGGGGCAUAAAACAGGCUGGAUUUACUACUGGAAUGUGUGUCAUCAUACUGAUGGGCCUUUUAACACUUUAUUGCUGCUACAGAGUAGUGAAAUCACGGACUAUGAUGUCUUCGUUGGAUACCACUACCUGGGAAUAUCCAGAUGUCUGCAGACAUUAUUUCGGCUCCUUUGGGCAGUGGUCGAGUCUCCUUUUCUCCUUGGUGUCUCUCAUUGGAGCAAUGAUAGUUUAUUGGGUGCUUAUGUCAAAUUUUCUUUUUAAUACUGGAAAGUUUAUUUUUAGUAAGUAUCUAUAUCAUAUGCUUUUAACACAGUACUUUCAAAUACUAUUACCACUGUAAUGUUAGUUCUAGCCUUAAAUUCUAGGACUUGGGAUAAAUAAAAUAAGAAGUAACAUAUAUAAUUUUGGAAAAUA
rnacentral:sRNA from 1 species